GAUGAACGCUGGCGGCGUGCCUAAUACAUGCAAGUCGAGCGAACAGACAAGGAGCUUGCUCCUUUGACGUUAGCGGCGGACGGGUGAGUAACACGUGGGUAACCUACCUAUAAGACUGGGAUAACUUCGGGAAACCGGAGCUAAUACCGGAUAAUAUUUCGAACCGCAUGGUUCGAUAGUGAAAGAUGGUUUUGCUAUCACUUAUAGAUGGACCCGCGCCGUAUUAGCUAGUUGGUAAGGUAACGGCUUACCAAGGCGACGAUACGUAGCCGACCUGAGAGGGUGAUCGGCCACACUGGAACUGAGACACGGUCCAGACUCCUACGGGAGGCAGCAGUAGGGAAUCUUCCGCAAUGGGCGAAAGCCUGACGGAGCAACGCCGCGUGAGUGAUGAAGGUCUUCGGAUCGUAAAACUCUGUUAUUAGGGAAGAACAUACGUGUAAGUAACUAUGCACGUCUUGACGGUACCUAAUCAGAAAGCCACGGCUAACUACGUGCCAGCAGCCGCGGUAAUACGUAGGUGGCAAGCGUUAUCCGGAAUUAUUGGGCGUAAAGCGCGCGUAGGCGGUUUUUUAAGUCUGAUGUGAAAGCCCACGGCUCAACCGUGGAGGGUCAUUGGAAACUGUAAAACUUGAGUGCAGAAGAGGAAAGUGGAAUUCCAUGUGUAGCGGUGAAAUGCGCAGAGAUAUGGAGGAACACCAGUGGCGAAGGCGACUUUCUGGUCUGUAACUGACGCUGAUGUGCGAAAGCGUGGGGAUCAAACAGGAUUAGAUACCCUGGUAGUCCACGCCGUAAACGAUGAGUGCUAAGUGUUAGGGGGUUUCCGCCCCUUAGUGCUGCAGCUAACGCAUUAAGCACUCCGCCUGGGGAGUACGACCGCAAGGUUGAAACUCAAGGGAAUUGACGGGGACCCGCACAAGCGGUGGAGCAUGUGGUUUAAUUCGAAGCAACGCGAAGAACCUUACCAAAUCUUGACAUCCUUUGACAACUCUAGAGAUAGAGCCUUCCCCUUCGGGGGACAAAGUGACAGGUGGUGCAUGGUUGUCGUCAGCUCGUGUCGUGAGAUGUUGGGUUAAGUCCCGCAACGAGCGCAACCCUUAAGCUUAGUUGCCAUCAUUAAGUUGGGCACUCUAAGUUGACUGCCGGUGACAAACCGGAGGAAGGUGGGGAUGACGUCAAAUCAUCAUGCCCCUUAUGAUUUGGGCUACACACGUGCUACAAUGGACAAUACAAAGGGCAGCGAAACCGCGAGGUCAAGCAAAUCCCAUAAAGUUGUUCUCAGUUCGGAUUGUAGUCUGCAACUCGACUACAUGAAGCUGGAAUCGCUAGUAAUCGUAGAUCAGCAUGCUACGGUGAAUACGUUCCCGGGUCU
rnacentral:rRNA from 1 species